UACGGGGGGGGGCAAGCGUUAAUCGGAAUUACUGGGCGUAAAGCGUGCGCAGGCGGCUUUGCAAGACAGAUGUGAAAUCCCCGGGCUUAACCUGGGAACUGCAUUUGUGACUGCAUGGCUGGAGUGCGGCAGAGGGGAUGGAAUUCCGGCGUGUAGCAGUGAAAUGCGUAGAUAUGCGGAGGAACACCGAUGGCGAAGGCAAUCCCCUGGGCCUGCACUGACGCUCAUGCACGAAAGCGUGGGGAGCAAACAGG
rnacentral:rRNA from 1 species